rnacentral:rRNA from 1 species
AUGACAUAUGUGAGAAAUAUUCUGGAUGAGGAAUGGAAAAGGAUGAAAGAUUCAUUGCAAGACCUCAACAGAGAGCAGGUUAAUAACAAAGAGCUCCAAGAGAAUCGCCAAGAUUUGAUGCAGGGUUUCGAGAACAUGCCGAUUAGUGGCGGCACCAUUGUUGGAAUAAAAAGGACGGGCUUAAGCUGCAAGGUUGGUCUCGUAUUGGCAGGAAGAAAUACAGAAGCCACCAUGGCGUCCAUUUACGACUAUUCAGGUCAAUGA